UCCCUAGUAGCUCAGUUUGUAAAGAAUCCGCCUGCAAUGCAGGAGACCCAGGUUCGAUUCCUGGGUUGGGAA
rnacentral:tRNA from 1 species